CGAUUGCCAAAUCAAAGAGAA
rnacentral:siRNA from 1 species